UCUGAAAAUAUACCUGAAUAUUUUAUUAUUUAACUUGUUCAAUUUUCAAAUCUUAUUGAAUGGUCAAGUUAUAGUGGGGAAGAGAAGUUUCAAGACUACUGAACGAAUCGAGAUCUAAAUGGGGACAGAUAACUUCAUUCCUGUUUACUUUUCGAUUCAAUUUUGUCACUUAUUACGAUCUGGAGUUAUAUUUAUGAUGAUCAGUUAUGGCCGUGUCUACUGUAAUAGGAGGUAGUAUCAUGUCAUAUUUAUUGUUUUUAGAGUUAAUAAAAAUAUGGUCUAGGCAUGA